AGGUGGUCGGGUAGAGAAUACCAAGGCGCUUGAGAGAACUCGGGUGAAGGAACUAGGCAAAAUGGUACCGUAACUUCGGGAGAAGGUACGCUCUCGACGGUGAAGUCCCUCGCGGAUGGAGCUAUUGAGAGUCGCAGAUACCAGGUGGCUGCAACUGUUUAUUAAAAACACAGCACUGUGCAAAAUCGCAAGAUGACGUAUACGGUGUGACGCCUGCCCGGUGCCGGAAGGUUAAUUGAUGGGGUUAGACUUCGGUCGAAGCUCUUGAUCGAAGCCCCGGUAAACGGCGGCCGUAACUAUAACGGUCCUAAGGUAGCGAAAUUCCUUGUCGGGUAAGUUCCGACCUGCACGAAUGGCGUAAUGAUGGCCACGCUGUCUCCACCCGAGACUCAGUGAAAUUGAAAUCGCUGUGAAGAUGCAGUGUACCCGCGGCUAGACGGAAAGACCCCGUGAACCUUUACUACAGCUUGGCACUGAACAUUGACCCUACAUGUGUAGGAUAGGUGGGAGGCUUUGAAGCGCAGUCGCUAGAUUGCGUGGAGCCGUCCUUGAAAUACCACCCUUGUAGUGUUGAUGUUCUAACGUCGACCCCUUAUCGGGGUUGCGGACAGUGCCUGGUGGGUAGUUUGACUGGGGCGGUCUCCUCCCAAAGCGUAACGGAGGAGCACGAAGGUGGGCUAAUCACGGUUGGACAUCGUGAGGUUAGUGCAAUGGCAUAAGCCCGCUUGACUGCGAGAAUGACAAUUCGAGCAGGUGCGAAAGCAGGUCAUAGUGAUCCGGUGGUUCUGAAUGGAAGGGCCAUCGCUCAACGGAUAAAAGGUACUCCGGGGAUAACAGGCUGAUACCGCCCAAGAGUUCAUAUCGACGGCGGUGUUUGGCACCUCGAUGUCGGCUCAUCACAUCCUGGGGCUGAAGUCGGUCCCAAGGGUAUGGCUGUUCGCCAUUUAAAGUGGUACGCGAGCUGGGUUUAGAACGUCGUGAGACAGUUCGGUCCCUAUCUGCCGUGGGCGUUGGAGAAUUGAAAGGGGCUGCUCCUAGUACGAGAGGACCGGAGUGGACGAACCUCUGGUGUUCGGGUUGUGUCGCCAGACGCAUUGCCCGGUAGCUAAGUUCGGGAUCGAUAACCGCUGAAAGCAUCUAAGCGGGAAGCGAGCCUUGAGAUGAGUUCUCCCUGAUACUUUAAGUAUCCUAAAGGGUUGUCGUAGACUACGACGUUGAUAGGCAGGGUGUGUAAGCGUUGUGAGGCGUUGAGCUAACCUGUACUAAUUGCCCGUGAGGCUUAACCAUACAACACCCAA
rnacentral:rRNA from 1 species